GACGAACGCUGGCGGCGUGCUUAACACAUGCAAGUCGAACGGUGAAGCACCUUCCUUUUGGUGGGUGUGGAUGAGUGGCGAACGGGUGAGUAACACGUGAGUAACCUGCCCCCUUCUUCUGGAUAACCGCAUGAAAGUGUGGCUAAUACGGGAUAUUCUGUGCCUGCUGCAUGGUGGGUGUGGGAAAGAUGCGCUUUUGGGUGUUUUUGGUGGGGGAUGGGCUCGCGGCCUAUCAGCUUGUUGGUGGGGUGAUGGCCUACCAAGGCGGUGACGGGUAGCCGGCCUGGGAGGGUGGACGGUCACACUGGGACUGAGACACGGACCAGACUCCUACGGGAGGCAGCAGUGGGGAAUAUUGCACAAUGGGCGCAAGCCUGAUGCAGCGACGCCGCGUGAGGGAUGGAGGCCUUCGGGUUGUAAACCUCUUUCGCCAGUGAAGCAGGCCUGUCCCUUGUGGGUGGGUUGACGGUAGCUUGAUAAGAAGCGCCGGCUAACUACGUG
rnacentral:rRNA from 1 species